AUGUUGUUAAAAGCGGUUGGAGCGGCUGCUAUAGCGGUGCAAUGCGGAAAAUUCGGCCAGGCUGCUUCCGGUAGUACCUGCACAGCACGAAAUGGAGAUGCGGCUUGGGUCCUGGAGCGGGUAGUACCUGCACAGCACGAAAUGGAGAUGCGGCUUGGGUCCUGGAGCGGGUCACGUGCGGCGAAAGCAACCACUUUUCUAUUUUCGCGGGUUGGAUACACCCAGUUGCUUUUAAAACGGUUAAAACCCUAUUUCUAA